rnacentral:lncRNA from 1 species
UCAAAUACUUUGUCCAGUUGUUUUUGGUAUUGGGUACAUGGAGAGAAUCAGUCAUGUCGGGAUAUUUAUGUGAAACAAUCAAACGAGGCUCACUGAACAUGAGAAGUGGUGGUUACAGUAUAAUAUAAUCACGGGUUCGUUCAUUUAUUUCUGGGAAUUCUAAUACACUUGCCUCAAACUCAUACUUACUUUUUGCUGGAGAAUAAUACUUCCUUUUCACUCCAAUACGUAUGUGCAUAUAUCUGAUAACUAGGAAUUAAUACUGCG